GGUGGUUUUCGGCCUCACGCCAGGCUGGCCGUCGGUUCCUUUCCUCGCAGGAGAGGAUUCCUGUCGCGGUGCUAGUGGCUCUUCGGAGUUCACUCAGUGUCGAGGCGGACCGGCACGUUUACUUUGAACAAAUUAGAGUGCUUAAAGCAGGCAAGCAAUGUGUGACGGGGUGUGCAACCUCGGCCGCCUGAAUACUGUGUGCAUAGAAUAACUGAAUAGGACGUCGGUUCCAGAGGUUAAGUGGUUUUCGGAACCCGACGUAAUGAUUAACAGGGACGGGCGGGGGCAUUCGUAUUGCGACGUUAGAGGUGAAAUUCUUAGAUCGUCGCAAGACGAACCGAAGCGAAAGCGUUUGCCAAGUACGUCCCCGUUGAUCAAGAACGAAAGUUAGAGGUUCGAAGGCGAUCAGAUACCGCCCUAGUUCUAACCAUAAACGAUGCCAGCCAGCGAUCCGAAAAAGUUCCUCCGAUGACUUUUCGGGCAGCUUCCGGGAAACCAAAGCUUUUGGGUUCCGGGGGAAGUAUGGUUGCAAAGCUGAAACUUAAAGGAAUUGACGGAAGGGCACCACCAGGAGUGGAGCCUGCGGCUUAAUUUGACUCAACACGGGAAACCUCACCAGGCCCGGACACCGGAGGGAUUGACAGAUUGAGAGCUCUUUCUUGAUUCGGUGGGUGGUGGUGCAUGGCCGUUCUUAGUUGGUGGAGCGAUUUGUCUGGUUAAUUCCGAUAACGAACGAGACUCUUUCCUGCUAAAUAGCCGUCAGUGUAUCGACUUCGGCGUCGCUGCUCGGAUCACUGGCCGUGCUUCGGUGCGGUCGGCCCGAGUGGGUGGCGUCGAGCUACCUGCGGUUCAUUUUCUUCUUAGAGGGACAGACGGCGUCUAGCCGUACGAGAUUGAGCAAUAACAGGUCUGUGAUGCCCUUAGAUGUUCUGGGCCGCACGCGCGCUACACUGAAGGAAUCAGCGUGCUUUUUCCCGGGCCGAGAGGUCCGGGUAACCCGUUGAACCUCCUUCGUGAUAGGGAUCGGGGCUUGCAAUUGUUCCCCGUGAACGAGGAAUUCCCAGUAAGCGCGAGUCAUAAGCUCGCGUUGAUUACGUCCCUGCCCUUUGUACACACCGCCCGUCGCUACUACCGAUUGAAUGAUUUAGUGAGGUCUUCGGACCGGUGCGCGAAAGAGGGCCUCGUGCACUCUUCCGACGUUCAUCGGAAAGAUGACCGAACUUGAUUAUUUAGAGGAAGUAAAAGUCGUAAC
rnacentral:rRNA from 1 species